rnacentral:rRNA from 3 species
UCGUCACACUAUCAUUAACUGAAUCCAUAGGUUAAUGAGGCGAACCGGGGGAACUGAAACAUCUAAGUACCCCGAGGAAAAGAAAUCAACCGAGAUUCCCCCAGUAGCGGCGAGCGAACGGGGAGGAGCCCAGAGCCUGAAUCAGCAUGUGUGUUAGUGGAAGCGUCUGGAAAGGCGCGCGAUACAGGGUGACAGCCCCGUACACAAAAGCGCAUGUGCUGUGAGCUCGAUGAGUAGGGCGGGACACGUGGUAUCCUGUCUGAAUAUGGGGGGACCAUCCUCCAAGGCUAAAUACUCCUGACUGACCGAUAGUGAACCAGUACCGUGAGGGAAAGGCGAAAAGAACCCCGGCGAGGGGAGUGAAAAAGAACCUGAAACCGUGUACGUACAAGCAGUGGGAGCACAGGUUUACCUGUGUGACUGCGUACCUUUUGUAUAAUGGGUCAGCGACUUAUAUUCUGUAGCAAGGUUAACCG